GAUGAACGCUGACAGCAUGCUUAACACAUGCAAGUCGAUGGGGAAGUGGUGCUUGCCCCAUGGCAACCAUGGCGGACGGGUGAGUAACGCGUAAGGGACUUACCUGCAGGACUGGGAUAACAGGGGGAAACUCCUGACAAGACCGGAUAAUGUCAUGGAGCUGCAUGGCUUUAUGAUGAAAGGAGACGCCUGCGGAGAGCCUUGCGUCCUAUUAGCUAGUUGGUGAGGUAAUGGCUCACCAAGGCGAAGAUAGGUAGCCGGCCUGAGAGGGUGGACGGCCACAAGGGGACUGAGAUACGGCACUGACUCCUACGGGAGGCAGCAGUGGGGAAUAGUGGACAAUGGGGGCAACCCUGAUCCAGCAAUUCUGUGUGCACGAAGAAGGUUUUCGGAGUGUAAAGUGCUUUCAGCAGGGAAGAAGUAAGUGACGGUACCUGCAGAAGAAGCGACGGCUAAAUACGUG
rnacentral:rRNA from 1 species